AGAACUGGAGGGGAACAAGAUAUCAUCUUUGUGGGUUUCCAGCUUUCAAAACUGCACCACUCUGACAGUAUUGGCUCUUCGAAAAAACAGAAUACAAACUAUUGAGGAGGGAAUAUUUUCUGGCAUGCCAAACCUGAUAGACUUGGACGUAUCUUUAAACAAAAUUGAGGAGUUCUCACCAACUAUAUUUACAAAUCUUCAAAACCUAAAACAGUUGAACAUCUCAAAUAACCCUCUGACUCAUAUCUAUGAUGAUCAGUUUGACAUGUUUGUCAAUUUGCA